rnacentral:tRNA from 1 species
GUCAGGAUGGCCGAGCGGUCUAAAGCGCUGUGUUCAGGUCGCAGUCUCCCCUGGAGGCGUGGGUUUGAAUCCCACUUCUGACA